UCUCGAUAGCGUAAAAGUUAACUCAAAUAUGUAUGAAGUUCGAACGCUUGCCUACGUUUGCCGCUAGGGGUGCUGUUCCAACUCCAUAGAAGUUUGAGUUAACUUUUACGCUAUCGA
rnacentral:pre_miRNA from 9 species